GACGAACGCUGGCGGCGUGCUUAACACAUGCAAGUCGAACGGAAAGGCCCUGCUUUUGUGGGGUGCUCGAGUGGCGAACGGGUGAGUAACACGUGAGUAACCUGCCCUUGACUUUGGGAUAACUUCAGGAAACUGGGGCUAAUACCGGAUAGGAGCUCCUGCUGCAUGGUGGGGGUUGGAAAGUUUCGGCGGUUGGGGAUGGACUCGCGGCUUAUCAGCUUGUUGGUGGGGUAGUGGCUUACCAAGGCUUUGACGGGUAGCCGGCCUGGGAGGGUGACCGGCCCCAUUGGGCCUGGGAUCCGCCCCGGACUCCUACGGGAGGAAGCGGUGGGGAAUUUGCACAAUGGGCGGAAGCCUGAUGCAGCAACGCCGCGUGCGGGAUGACGGCCUUCGGGUUGUAAACCGCUUUCGCCUGUGACGAAGCGUGAGUGACGGUAAUGGGUAAAGAAGCACCGGCUAACUACGUG
rnacentral:rRNA from 1 species